UUAAUUAAUUUUAAACAAAACUUCAUUAAACUUUUGUUUCCUCAAAAUCUCUAGAAUAUGUAUGAUGCAAAAACAUAAAUUACUUGUACAAUUAACAAAAAAGAAAGAAAAACUCGACGAAAAUUAGAGGCAAUAAGUACUUAUAAAACUCCGAUUUCAAAUUUUUUACAAGAAAGAUUAUAGCGUGAAUCGGUACGAUUAGUAACAUUAUUGUCACAGCUUAUAGUCAACUUUAAAAAUUAUCAUUGAAUAAAGGGAUAAAAAUGUGCAACAACUACGGUAAAAAAAUUAAAGAUUAAUAUUAAUUUGCAUAAUUAUUGUUGUGCGCACUGUAUGUUAUACUGAAGCGAGUCCGUUUCAAACCAACGUACAAAUUUCAAGUUGAAAUUAUACGCGAGUUUUGUAUGGAAAUCUCACGACAGUAAAAUAAUACGGUGUGAGUGGCUUUGUAGUAUUACUAAAGACAGUUCUUUAGUCAACAAUGAAUUUAUUAAUUAAGUCUUGGCGGCUAUGUUACAAUUGUUUGAAUGCUUGGUGUGGACUGUAUGAAUGUAUGAUGAAUGACAGAGAGUGUAUAACAGACAGAAUGUAUAACAGACAGACGCUUCUUACUUUAUUUCACAUGUUUUAUAUCCAAAUUAGUUACACCCCUUUGGAGAGGGAAGGAAAUAUAUGAAACUUAUUGGCCAAUAGUAGGAGGGUCCACUCACCAAGGUCUCCCGAUGGAAGAGCUUAUGUUUUUGGUAUCGUAUACCACUCGAAGGACCCGACACUGCAUAAAGGUUUUCGUUGCACCAAUAUGUUUCGAUGAUCGUUGAGUUGGUUUGGGAAUUUAUGGUCCUUCAGAAUUUUCUUAAUCUUUAAGUAAACGAUAUCUUAUACCUACUGCCUAUCAUAUUCUAUGAUAUUUUAUUUCAUAGGUUUAUCGCAAAUUAUGAGAGCGCGAAACGCGGUGCAGCGCACCAGCUAAGAGGCUGCUCCAGUUUUCACCCCGUACAUGACUCAGCCACUUCUGACGAUUUACGUGAAUGUUUAUAGAGAUUUACGUUCGGAUACAAAACGACUUACAAGCGUAACGGCCAAGAUAGAAGAGAGUUUCGGAUGUCGAAGGGGCCCCUUUUAAGGGAAAUCGGAACAAGGAAUGUUCUAGAAGAAGGGCGUUUUUCAUAAGUUAAGGGAUUCUUAUUGGUGUUCUCACGGUGCAGUGGGGGAUUGUUUAAAAUUCCAAAUUUAUGUUCGGCGAGAAAAAGUAGAAACAGAUGUUCCUUAAAUUAGUAUGCAGCGCAAGUGUGGGUUUUAUCUACUAGCCCUAGCAGGUUUAGACAGGUUUUCCAAGGGAUCAAGAUAAUACAUCUAAGCAGAUAUGGUCCACGUCGGGCCUAACAGUACCUCUAUAAACAUUCAGGGUUUAUUCAUACGAGUUCAACCGUAUUGCAUAAGUAACUAUAAUAAGUUUAUGGGAGGUAUUGACAAACUGGACUGGAAUGUUAACAAAUACAGGAUAAAAAUUAACAGUUGACGGCAGAUGACGAGCAAUUAUUUCCUUCAAAAGCCAGGUGCAGAUUUACACAGUAUAUGCCUAAUAAACCCAACAAAUUUGGGAUCAAAUUCUGUUUUUUUUUUAUCUUGCAUCAAAUGUUAGUAGCAAAUAUUUUUUGAAUGGUUUUUCUUAUUUGGGAAAAAAUGAACAUUAUUGGGGAAGGAUGAAAAACAACCAUCAUCAAUGCUUCUAAAUGAACACUUUGUUCUGAAACUUGUCGAGCCAUAUACAAUCUGUGGAAGAAAUAUUAUGACCGUUAAAUUUUUCACUAGCAUGUCAAUAUUAGCCAAACAAAAUUAUUGGCCAAAAAAACAAUUCUAAUUGGAACUAUUAGAGGAAACAAAAGAGAACUACCAAAAGCAGCCAAACAAACGAAGGAUAACAUGCCUCGUUUUUCUACUCUGCUGUAUAAAUCAGAGAAUUUUGUUCUUACAUAUGUAAAAGCAAACCAAAUAAAAGAGUAGUUGUUCUAAGUUCUAAGCAUAAAUUUGUGAAAAUUGAUAAAAGUAAUAAAAAAAUGUUACCGAAAUCUAUUCAAUUUUAUAACAGCACAAAAUUUAGAUUGAUAUGGCGGAUCAAAUGGCCAGAAAACAUACAGUAAAAGCUAGUUCUCGUAGAUGGCCACUCCAAAUAUUUUUCAAUAUUUUAGAUUUGGCUGCUAUAAAUGCUUGGAUCCUUUACAAAGAAAUGACAGGACUACAAAUACAGCGAAAAGAGUUCUUGUUUCAAUUAGCAGAACAGCUUCCCACUACAUACAGAACUGCAACAUCAUCAAAUGCAAUCCAUUCUAACAAACGCAAAAUUUGUCAAAUACGACUUUGCCAUAAAAACAAAACAAAUAAUAUAUGUGAAAAAUGUCAAAAGUAUGUUUGCGAAAAAUGUAUACACAAGAUUUCCACUUUUAUUUGCAUAAAAUGUACGGAUAAUAAU